GGUUUCAUUAUGUAAAGCUCACUAUGAAGACCUGCCUGACCUGGAAGUGGCACAGAGCUUUCUGCCUUUGGUUCCCAAGUGCUGGGUGUGAAGUUCUGCUGUAUUUAAAGCUGGCUGCGGGACCAGGCGGGACAGAAACUUCCAUCUACAGUGAGUUGCCAUAUGUGUGCUGUGAAUCCAACCUGGGUCCUCUUAACUGGAACCCUUCCAUGGAGCUUGUCCCCAGCCACCUCUGUUUUCCCACAAUUUCCACAGCACAGGCAGUUCUACAAACUUCCGAUCUUUGCCAAAUUGGAAAAAUGGAAGAAGCCACUCCCUCUUCCUGUCAUUCAACAUUUCUUUGGCUCCGGGAUUCCAGAAGUCUGGGCUAGGGAGAUAGCCCGUCCUUCCGUUAGAAGAUAAAAGACUCUGAGGCAGUCUGUCCUACCCUAAGCCGUGGAGCCAUGAGCAGAACCAAUAUGUGGAUACUGGUGUGUCUGGCAGGAAUGGAUAUCAUCUCCAUGGCAACUCCAAGCGUCAAGACUCCUGACUAUGCAGUCGGGGCAGUGAUAAAGGAGCUGAUCCUUGCUGAGUCACCUUCCACACCUACCCUACUCUCUGGACUCCGGCUUCACAUAUUUUGUUCUCACCCUUGAACCUGCCAAGCUCCCCCUGCCUUAGCGCCUCUGCCCUGUGGUCCUAUCUUUCUAGACC
rnacentral:lncRNA from 1 species